rnacentral:rRNA from 1 species
AUUGAACGCUGGCGGCAUGCUUUACACAUGCAAGUCGAACGGUAACAGGGUGCUUGCACCGCUGACGAGUGGCGACCGGGUGAGUAAUGCGUCGGAACGUGCCGAGUAGUGGGGGAUAACGCAGCGAAAGUUGUGCUAAUACCGCAUACGUACUGAGGUAGAAAGUGGGGGACCUUCGGGCCUCACGCUAUUCGAGCGGCCGACGUCUGAUUAGCUAGUAGGUGAGGUAAAGGCUCACCUAGGCGACGAUCAGUAGCGGGUCUGAGAGGAUGAUCCGCCACACUGGGACUGGGACACGGCCCAGACUCCUACGGGAGGCAGCAGUGGGGAAUUUUGGACAAUGGGCGAAAGCCUGAUCCAGCCAUGCCGCGUGUCUGAAGAAGGCCUUCGGGUUGUAAAGGACUUUUGUCGGGGAGGAAAUCCCCAGCGUUAAUACCGCUGGGGGAUGACAGUACCUGAAGAAUAAGCACCGGCUAACUACGUGCCAGCCGCCGCCGUAAGAC